UGGGGAAUAUUGCACAAUGGGCGAAAGCCUGAUGCAGCAACGCCGCGUGAGUGAUGAAGGUCUUCGGAUUGUAAAGCUCUGUCUUUUGGGACGAUAAUGACGGUACCAAAGGAGGAAGCCACGGCUAACUACGUGCCAGCAGCCGCGGUAAUACGUAGGUGGCGAGCGUUGUCCGGAUUUACUGGGCGUAAAGGGUGCGUAGGCGGAUGUUUAAGUGAGAUGUGAAAUACCCGGGCUUAACUUGGGUGCUGCAUUUCAAACUGGAUAUCUAGAGUGCAGGAGAGGAGAAUGGAAUUCCUAGUGUAGCGGUGAAAUGCGUAGAGAUUAGGAAGAACACCAGUGGCGAAGGCGAUUCUCUGGACUGUAACUGACGCUGAGGCACGAAAGCGUGGGUAGCAAACAGGAUUAGAUACCCUGGUAGUCCACGCCGUAAACGAUGAGUACUAGGUGUAGGAGGUAUCGACCCCUUCUGUGCCGCAGUAAACACAUUAAGUACUCCGCCUGGGGAAGUACGAUCGCAAGAUUAAAACUCUAAAGUGAAUUGACC
rnacentral:rRNA from 1 species